AGUUGAGACUUCUCCAAGGGCCAUGGGGUUGACAUCUGUAUUCUCAGGGUCCUCGUAAGAACUUCCAUUUUAUGUUCUUGUCUUCUCAUCAGUUUGAGUUGUGUCUUUAACAUUGGAGAGAAAAACAACUUGCAAGAUUUUCUUUCAGUAUGAACCAUUCUGAGGUCCUUCAAUUCUUUAGCUGAUUACCAACUCCUACCACUGUUAACCCUCAUCCAGGAACAAGCUUAUGUCUUUAACAUUCUGAGUGGGCUUCAGCAUCCUUGCAUAUGUUCAAUUCUUAAAAACCUGUUGAAAUAAAAGAUCAGGAGACAUAGGAAGGAUGCCAGAAGAGAGCGUGGCCUCACGUGUACCAGCUCUCUGCUCUCCUUUGCCUUGGGACGUUCCAUCCCUGGAAGUUUCCCUGCCCACAUCUUUGUAGAGAGUCCAUUCUCCAAGCUUCAGUGUGUCAUCUGUGAGGACCGUGACCCACCUGGUACAUCGCCUCAGGGCAUUCAUUUCAGGCUCCUUCUAAAUGGCCAAGGCACCCUUGGAAAUGCAAUGCUACAUCUCAAUGGGAUUUUCCAGUACAAAGAUUCUUUUCAAAUAACAUAAUUGUGGAUACACACCACUCCUACAGUGGUAAACCUCAGGUUCUCCUCCUGCCUUUUGCUAAGUAUAUGUCUUGAUGACAAGCCUUCUGCUGAUGAGCUGUGUUUCUGGACCGAUCAUGGUAGAAGUCAAUUAACGUGUCCCUCACUUGGGGUUUCUCAAGGCUGCACUGAUGAGGAAACUGAAACAGAAAAUCCAGAGUAAAUUCCACCAGGCCACACAGCAAGGUCUGAUAGAGCCAGGAGAGACUUUAUGAAAUCCAGACUCUCACACUAAUGCUCUAUCAGCUAGACCUCCAUGUGAGUCUCCCCAAUGUAGGUAGGAAGUGCUUUCCC
rnacentral:lncRNA from 10 species